rnacentral:lncRNA from 1 species
CUGGCUAAGGACAGUCUCUGACUCAAUGGCUUGGCUUGCCACAUCUUAAACAAGUACCACUGCUAGCUCUGCAAAUACCCUGAUAGUGCUUGCCAUAAGUUUGGCAAAGAGUAUAGGUGUGGGUAAUGCUAACACCGCCCUGAGACUUAGAGCCUGGCGCUCUAUCUUUGUUACCAUCCCUGAACUUAGGAGUUGGAGCGCUAGCUGAAGAAGGAGCUAGAACUGAUGACUUAGGACAAAAUAGAGAACGG